GGAGUUGUGCCUGAAUUAAAGGGGCACUUUGAUAGAGUGAAACAUGAGGGUUAAACUCCCCCCAACUCCU
rnacentral:tRNA from 1 species